rnacentral:lncRNA from 1 species
CUUCCGAAAGACCAAUGUAACCCUAGUCUGAUUAGAGAAAUCUGUUAUCUAGUCGUAAACAAGUCCUACUUCAUGUUUAACAAUCAGUUCUAUAUGCAAACCUCUUAGCGGGAGUUUUGGCAGAAUUAGUGGUGAGAAGUAAAGAUGCUGUUAUGCCCACAAUUUCUCCUAGAAUUAAACUCUAUAGGAGAUACAUCGAUGAUAUUUUGUUGGUUACUGAAAAAUGUAAUUAUAUAAAUGAUUUAGAAAAAAGAUUAUCUGACCUCGUCAAGCAGAGGGAAAGCGAUACACAAAUGGAAUACUUAGAUAUUAACAUUACGUAUAGAGCCGGUGAGUAUGCACUGUCUAUUUUUAGAAAAAAUACAUAUAU